GAGGAAGUAAAAGUCGUAACAAGGUUUCCGUAGGUGAACCUGCGGAAGGAUCAUUCACAAACGAGUGUUUUAUGGCACUCUUUAAAAAUCCAUAUCCACCUUGUGUGCAAUGUUUGUUGGGAAAGUCUUUUCUUUCCCUUCAUAAAUAUCAACCUAUAUCUUUAACAACAUUCGUCUGAUAACAUAUUAUGAAUAUACUUAAUUCAAAAUAUAACUUUCAACAACGGAUCUCUUGGCUCUCGCAUCGAUGAAGAACGCAGCGAAAUGCGAUACGUAAUGUGAAUUGCAGAAUUCAGUGAAUCAUCGAAUCUUUGAACGCAUAUUGCGCUCUUUGGUAUUCCGAAGAGCAUGCUUGUUUGAGUAUCAGUAAACACCUCAACCUCUCUUUUUGACAAAAAAAGGAGGGUGGACUUGAGCUAUCCCAACGACCUUCACCGGUAGGCGGGCGGCUUGAAAUGCAGGUGCAGCUGGACUUUUAUCUGAGCUAAAAGCAUAUCUAUUUAGUCCUCGUCAAACAGGAUUAUUACUUUUGCUGCAGCUAACAUAAAGGAUAAUUGUCCUCUUCGCUGACUGAUGCAGGAUUUUACGACACUUUAUGUGUUGUUCAACUCGAUCUCAAAUCAAGUAAGACUACCCGCUGAACUUAAGCAUAC
rnacentral:rRNA from 1 species